rnacentral:rRNA from 1 species
AAGCAAGGAAACUUACAACAAAGAGUCCCUCCCGACUGUUUACCAAAAACACAGCACUCUGCUAACUCGUAAGAGGAUGUAUAGGGUGUGACGCCUGCCCGGUGCUCGAAGGUUAAUUGAUGGGGUUAGCAUUAGCGAAGCUCUUGAUCGAAGCCCGAGUAAACGGCGGCCGUAACUAUAACGGUCCUAAGGUAGCGAAAUUCCUUGUCGGUUAAAUACCGACCUGCAUGAAUGGCGUAACGAGAUGGGAGCUGUCUCAAAGAGGGAUCCAGUGAAAUUGUAGUGGAGGUGAAAAUUCC